AUGUUUUUAGUAUAUUAGUACAUUUACCUUCCAAGUAAAAAGUUAACUUAGUUAAAAACAUA
rnacentral:tRNA from 1 species